GGAAACACUGUGGGGGACGCAACUCAAUUAGCCUUUGGAUUUGGUGUGAAAUUUGACCCAGUCUGUUCAAAAUCAGCAUCAUUGAUUCCACUGACAACAAACAUAUCUCUUGAUAUUUCUGCAUAGGAUGGUCUAGGGAAGGGCUGCACCCCGGGUAGCUCAGAUAACCAUUAUGUCAAUCACCCUCUGGCAUUUGUCUUGGGCUAGACUCCCGGUCAGAGAGAGGGGAACCCUCAUUAAGUGAGUUUGUUGAAGGUGUUAUCAGUGCUCCUUUACUCACAGUUCCUAUUGUUGUUGCUAUAUCUGAGGGGUUCGGAAGAGGAAAGGUGAUGAAGACAGAUGUUCAAUUGAGAGAUUAUACUUCAGUUAUGGUUUCAUGCCUCUACUGAAAAUUUGAGAUGAAAGAUGUCACUGCUACCUAUUUUGAACAAUAAGAUACUGGCUCUAUUGGAACCGUUUUGUAUUAAUACAGUGAAUCCACAGUAUCCACUUGGAUUUGGUUCCAGCAUCGGCCGUGGACACCAAAAUCCAUGAAGUCUCAAGACCCAUUAUGUUCAAUAAUGCAGUGAAAUGGCACCCUUUAUAUAAAAAAGAGAAACCACAAGAAAUUGUCCUGAACUGCAAAAAUUUCUUUCCAAUCGGAACAAUCCUUCCACUCAGAAUUCUUGUCAAUUGGGAAAAUCCUUUUUCAUUUGAGAUUUGAACAUAUCAUUGUGAAUUAUUGUUUAAUGUUUGUUUAAUCUCUGGGUUUUUAAAAUCAUAAUAUUGAAUAAAACGUACCUGCUCA
rnacentral:lncRNA from 11 species